GCCGGAGUGGCGGAAUUGGUAGACGCAAGGGACUUAAAAUCCCUCGGGUUUCUGCUCGUGCCGGUUCAAGUCCGGCCUCCGGCA
rnacentral:tRNA from 1 species